AGCGAACGCUGGCGGCAGGCCUAACACAUGCAAGUCGAACGAGGUCUUCGGACUUAGUGGCGGACGGGUGAGUAACACGUGGGAACGUGCCUUUAGGUUCGGAAUAACUCAGGGAAACUUGUGCUAAUACCGAAUGUGCCCUUCGGGGGAAAGAUUUAUCGCCUUUAGAGCGGCCCGCGUCUGAUUAGCUAGCUGGUGAGGUAAAGGCUCACCAAGGCUACGAUCAGUAGCUGGUCUGAGAGGAUGACCAGCCACAUUGGGACUGAGACACGGCCCAAACUCCUACGGGAGGCAGCAGUGGGGAAUCUUGCGCAAUGGGCGAAAGCCUGACGCAGCCAUGCCGCGUGGAUGAUGAAGGUCUUAGGAUUGUAAAAUCCUUUCACCGGUGAAGAUAAUGACUGUAGCCGGAGAAGAAGCCCCGGCUAACUUCGUGCCAGCCGCCGCGGUAACAC
rnacentral:rRNA from 1 species